AAGGUAAUACUGGUGGUAGGACCUCUUGUGAGUCCGCACGGGUAGGAACCACCACCCUGCCUAUUUCUGCCGUGAAGCAGUAAUGCGUUUCGGUUUGAAGGGUGGGGCAGCCGUUGUAACUAUACUGAUACCUUAGAACUUAUAUCUCAAGGUGGGUGGCGCAUUUAAGUUAUAGAUGUCUCGGGGUCCAGUAACACCAGGUGGACUGUGAGCGCCUCCACCCAUCUAAGCAAUAAAUAAUAAUAAUCAUACAUAUAAUAAUAAUCAAUAAUAAUAAUAAUCAUAUAAUAAUCAUCAUAAUAAUAAUCACCAUAUAUCAUGUGUACUCGAGAGGCUAAACUACGCUUUCUGCAUCAAAUUGAAAAUAAGAUGUUUUCCCAAUAGGAUUACGAUAAUGGAGCAUCUCAAAGUUGAAAGUAAAAAGUUCAUGUAUUAUUUUAUGUACGCACGAGAUAAUCGAUCACAGUUUCCAGUUCGACGGAAGGACCUCGUAAAUAAACAAUAGCAGGCCACACCGAACAAACUGAAAACUGAACAUGCGAAUACAACAAACGUUCUGCGGUUUGCGGAAGACAUAAAAAUAUUUAUCGCUGCCGAUUCCAAUACAUCAUUUUGGCAUUAACCGGUGAACUAUCAUUGAUAUUGCCGUUAUGAACUAUAAGCCGGCUAGCAAACGAGGCAAAUCAAAGUUUUAUCAGAAAAAUAGCAGUUCGCCUAAAUCUUGAAAUUGCCUUGUUAUUAAUUUGAAUUUGAAAUAUUGGUUGAAAUAAAUUAUACUUUUACGAUUCACUGAUUAAA